AUGUUGCCAAUGGAGUUAAAUGGUCCUCCAUUUGGUCAACCAACACCUUCAACAAAAGUGCCUACUCAAGAUGAGUUCGAUGACAUAGACAAGCUUGCACUUUUGAGUCUCGAGUUCACUUGGAGUGCCGAGGAUGAUCCUAUUAGGAAGGUUAUACUAGAUGAAAUGAAGAAGAUCAAGAGUGGGAAUGAGCUAGUGGAAGAAGUAAAGAAGAUUGAGAAGAACAUCAACGCCGGCAGUACUAUUUCUUCGCAGCUUGAGCUGAGUAAUUCUGGGAUUCCCCUUGAUACAUGUGAGGUUCCAAUACCGUCACAUCCAGCUAAGCUAGAUAGCAAGUGCCUUGAGCAUGAGAUACCUCAGAUUGAAGAAGAUGAACUAGAAGACAAGGGACAAGAUGAUCAAGAGCUGCAAUUCCCAAGUGAUCAAGUUGAAGACUCAUCAUCUACUACUCCUGAAGAAGUACAAGAAGCUGCUGUAGAUGAAGAUGAAGAACAUGAGAUUCAUUUGCCUAUUGUCAUACCAGAGCGUGAUGUGUCAGGUUUACCCAAUCCUCUUGAUGACAUGAUGCCUUGUGAUUUCUUUGCUACUACCUUGCAUUACAUGAUACCAUCACUUAAGAUUGAUUUGAAAACUCAUUUGCUUGGAUAUGAUGAUAUAUACCCUGUUAGUGGCAUUACUCUCAUUUGUGAUGAUCAUAGUUACUUUCCUCGUGCUAGUCCUAUGCUUAAUGAAACAUAUCAUUCCCAUGCUAGUCUUGAGCUUAAUGAUAAAUAUCAUCCUCAUGUUAGUGUUGACCUUGCUGAUUUCUACCAUCCUAAACAUGUGCUUUAUAGCUAUGCUUAUGUAAUUGGAUAUUCGAUUGAUGACUUGGAGGGUAUUAUCCCUACCACUUGCAUUAUCUCUUUGGUUGAGUGCUCUUUCAGGUUGUUGCUUGUGCACGAUCCACUACAUGCUGACCAAGUUCGAGAUGACAUUCCCUGGGACCCUGGUGGACCCAUGGCAUGGGGAUGA
rnacentral:rRNA from 1 species